rnacentral:misc_RNA from 1 species
CUAUCUUCAACUAAUUUAUAGUUGGUGUUAGAAGCUAGGCUAACACCAGCUUCUUAAAUUUAAUGGCUAUUGUAUCUGGCGUUCUUCUACAAAGUAAAUCUUGUCUGUUUAAGAACACAUUUAUAUUAGCAUUAAUUUGUUAUUAUUUU